CUUUUGAAACCGAGAAGAUGAUGAAGAGGCCGGCCUGCUGGGAAUUUGUUUUGAUUCUGGGUUUUCGUUGUUUGCAGGGACGAAGGCAAUGGCAGGGCCAAUACUCGUCUCUGUGUAUUGCUGCUCUCUUGUUCUCUCCGUCUCUCUGUGACUGUUAUCUUCCACAAACGAGAUCGUGGGCGAGAGACAUGGUCCUCGAUUGGAUCGAAUACGUUGCAGAUUUUCAGCCUGUUGAAUCGGGAUGGAGAAGACGAACACGGCUGUUCCACCAGCAACGGCGAUGUUUCGGCAGCAACGGCGACGUUUCAAGCAGCAAUGGACAUUUUCAUUUUGACCCCUGAACUUUGGAAGUUCGGCAAUUGGACCUCUAAGCAAUUAAAAAUUCCUUUUAAUUUUGCUCCUUUGGAUUAAUUUCAAUUAAAUCCCUAAAUUAUAACACUGUUUACAAAACAGUCCUUAAUUCCUGGAUUGUUCAAUUUGAUCCUUAAUUAAUUCUUUUAAUUUUGCCA